GCUCACACCUCAUAAUCAGAGCUCCUGGCUCCCACCUGCUCCUUGCUCUCCGAACGCUCUCCACCCCACGGUGGUCACAGGAAGUGUUCCAGGAAAAUCCAUUUCCCUGUGACUUCAUGGCACGCUGGGGGCCAUGAAGUCCACCCUAGGGACCAGAAGGACAUGGAGGAGUGGCGGAUGGGCUGACCAGGCCACUGCUGGGAAGUGCUAGGUAAUGGGAGCCAUCCUGGAGUUUGAACCUACUCAGCUGAAGUGUGGUGGUCCUGGCUCAGCUCGGGCUCAGGAAAUGUUAAGAGGUAGAGCUGGGUGGCAUCCCCACUGGGACUUUCCUGUUGUCUUCUCUCUCAGCUACCCAUGAUGUUCCCUCCAUGACUCACGCCAAAGUGAAUGAGUUCAGGGAGAGAGGACUUCCAUGGCCAGAGGCAGAGGCCUCCCUGGACAGGCUGGGGAGGUACCAUGAUGCUUUCCAGCCCUUCCCGCCAGGAGACCCCUCAGGGAUGCAGUAAUUGCCCUCUGUGGACAUGCCCUCUGCUGGCCGUGCCUCCUCCUGCCCUCCCAGAUGGGGGCCCAGCCAUCCUGCGAGGUCCUGCUUUGUCCAUGCUGCAAGAACCAGGAGCGCCCAAAGACACCCAUGGUGCCAGUGCCACUGGGCCUGCUUGGAGACACAUACUAUGAGGAACAUGGAGAGAAGAUUUACUUCUUCUGUGAGACCGACACAUAGCUCCUCUGUGUGCUCUUUUGGGAGGGUCCUGACCACCAGGGCCACACCAAGGGGGUCCUGGACGCAGCCAUUCAGCCCUACUAGACUCAGAUUGACGGCAAGAAGCGGCAGGUAGCAGCAAUGUUCGAGAUGCUGCGGCAGGAGCUGGUGGAGCAGCAGGAUGUCCUGGUGGCCCAGCUUAGGGAGCUGGAGCUGCAGAUCUGGCAGGAGAGAGAGAUGAAUACAUCUCAGAGGUCUCUGAGGAGGUCACCAGGCUCAGAGCCAAGGCCAAGGAGCUGGAGAAGUGUCAGCAGCCGGCGAGUGCCCUGCUCCAGGUGAGACUGCCUACUGAGUCAUGGGCUUGGGGAGGGUUUGCACAGGAGGGGACACCCCUGAGGGCCAGAAGAUGCUGGGGAAAGGCAGGAGGGGGAAGCACAGGUUGUUUCUGGUGGGAAGAAAGUAGAGCAGUUGGGUUCCUUUGGCCCAGAGAGUUUACAGACACGCAGACCCAGGAAGGAUGGAUGGCCUGCUCACCCACUGUAUCCACGUCAAGGACUUUGGAGUCAGAGGGCCUCGGGUUUGAGUGUGGCUCUCCCAGCCGUGUGACCUUGGUGAGCCUCGUGACCCCUACCCAUGGGGGUAAUCAUAGCAUGUCCCUCACGGAGCCGUUGCAGAGAUGAUAAGAGGCAAUCAUGCCAGGUGCAUAGCGUGCUCCCUGGCUCACAGACAGAACUCUGUAAACAGCAUCUGUUGUGAUUCUCAUCAUCUUGUCGUGUUUCACAUCAGUCUGGCUGCUAACUCACCACCUCUCACACACCAGAGGCAGAACACAUUUCCAAGAGGAGGCUAAGACAGAGAAGC
rnacentral:lncRNA from 1 species